CUCCCUCCGCCCGCUUGCGGCUUGCCUGCCUGGUGCCGGCACGUACCGUUUCCUGACCCCAUCGUCUCCAGGUGGUGAGGCACCUGGUCGCCGCGGGGCAUGACGUGCACGUGGUCACCGCCGCGCCCGAGUUCGUCUUCACCAUAGAGAUCGCCUCCCCCAGCCUCCACAUCUGCAAGGUCCUGCUCGACUGCGGCGCCGUCCAGGCCGACACCCUCACCGUGGACCGCCUCGCCUCGCUCAAGAAGUACCACCAGACGACUGUGGUGCCCCGGGAGUCCAUCCUCAAGACCGAGGCGGAGUGGCUCAACUCCAUCAAGGCCUUGCUCCAUGGAUGGUCCCAGCGAAGCCGACCACGCCUCCCAGCAUCGCCAUGCCCGCACCUCCAACCAUCCUCGCCGACAAGCUAGUGUCCCCGUCCACAUCCGAGAUCCUCACGCCCGGGCCUUGGAUGGAAGCCCAGAAUCGCCUUCCAUCGGGGAUUCUACACCACGCGUCGCGCCCCCUCCCCGCACGCAAGCCCCCGCCUGCGCAUUCUCCGCCACCCCAUCCCCUGUCCAGCGUGUGUGCCAUGGCCUCCCUCGACCAGCGGCACGCAUACGCCAUCACCCCUCCCAACUGCUCCCACCCGAGAUUGUCGCUGUCCCCAUCUAUGCAUCAGGUCUGCGCCCGCCGAGGCUGCCCUCGUCCUCCCCAACGGCAAAUCGCGAUGAUUAUGCCCCCAUCCACGCGCCGCUUCCCCAGUUCAGCAUCAAAGUUGGUUGUCUUGCAAAACAGCUUCCCCAACAUUUUCUGAAAUCUCUCCAAACAAAGAAGCCACUUAUGAAAAAGCUUAUUGGCUGCUUCACGCGCUCUUUGUUUUUCAACCAUACUGUGACUUGUGUUUUGUUCUAUGAUGUUGUGGCUAUAACCAAGUGGAGGUUUAUGGAGCUAAAGGAACAUAUGCAAGGAGAUUUUGGUGCUGAAAAUGAAGCAUAUGAAAGGUAUACACAGAAUGUUAGGUUAUUGGAGGAAACAUGGUGUCCCAUGGAAGAUGCUGAUGUUGAGCCUGAAGCUGAAGCAGCUUUUCUUCAGAGGAAGGAAGGAUGGACUUGCUGGUUUCGGAGGCAAAUGUGAGGUUGAAGUCGGGUAAUGAAAUUGCCAAUGGCUUCAACUAUCUUGGAGCAGAAGCUGAAGAAAUUGCCGAUGAGGAUGGAAAACCAUAUGAUCCAAAUGAGGACGAUCAUCUAAACCCAAUGAAGUUCAGCACAAAGCAUAUCAGCUAUUUGGAAAGGAGAAGCCGAGAAGGGUUCCUCUAUUGAUAGGUCAACUGGAAUGGAGAUGAAGCCGAGCGAUCAAGAGUCAGCUGCAUCAGUAGCAUGGCCUUACUCUAUCCUAGAGUUGUGCACUAUAUGGAGGUUGAUGAAGACUUUGCUGCAAAGAUCGAUGAUGAAAUCACCUCUUUGAAUCAGGUGGCACAGCUAUGAAUCUGGAAUCUGGCCCAAUCGCCAUGUGACUAAUUCUGUUUAAAUUAUCUUUUUCAAGGAGAGAGCUCUUUUAUCUUCAAGAAAGGUAGCAUACUUUGGCACAAUUUGCUAUGGAAGUGGCUAGAGAAUCACAAGUGAGGAAUGUUGAAGGAUGAAUUGGAGCAGAAAAUUAAGUAUUGGUGGUGAGGAUGUUGAAAUCUGCAUGGAAAUUUCCUCAAAACCUGAGAGCUUCAAAUGUUAUUGGCUGCUUCACGCGCUCUUUGUUUUUCAACCAUACUGUGACUUGUGUUUUGUUCUAGGAUGUUGUGGCUAUAAACAAGUGGAGGUUUAUGGAGCUAAAGGAAGACAUGCAAGGAGAUUUCGUUGCUAAAAAUGAAGCAUAUGAGGUAUACACAAAAUGUUGGGUUACUGGAGGAAACAUUGUCUCCCAUGGAAGAUGCAGACGUUGAAGCCUGAAGCUGAAGCAAUUUUUCUUCAGAGGAAGGAAGGACAGACUUGCUUGUUUCGGGGGGCAAAGGUGAGGCUAAAGUUGGAUAACGAAAUUGUUGGUGCCUUCAACUAUCUUGGAGCAGAAGCUAAAGAAACUGCUUGAGAGUCAAAGCGCAGAUGAGGAUGACAAACCAUCUGAUCCAAAUUAGGACGAUCAUCUAAACCCAAUGAAGUUUAGCACAAAGUAGAAGAUGGAGAGAGAAGCUGAAGCUUAAAUGAGCUGCUUGGUAAGCUGGCUAGGACACGGAUUGAGGACGACCUGAAGCCUUGCCGUGAUCUUAUUGAGCAGCUGUUUGGAAAGGAGAAGGGUUGACAGAUCAACUGGAAUGGAGAUGAAGCCGAGCGAUCAAGAGUCAGCUGCAGCAGCAGUAGCACGACCUUACUCCAUCCUAGAGUUGUGCACUAGGUGGAGGUUGAUGAAGACUUUGCCGCAAAGAUCGAUGAUGAAUUUCUCGUCGUUGAAUCAGGUGGCACAGCUAUGAAUCUGGAAUGUGGACCAAUCGUCAUGUGACUAAUUCUGUUUAAAUCACUUUUUUCUUCUAGGAGAGAGCUCUUUUAUAUUCAUGAAAGAUAGCCUACUUACUUUGGCACAAUUUGCUAUGAAAGUGGACAGAGCAUCACAACUGAGGAAUGUAUGUUCAUUUAAUGGUAUAAUAAUAAUGGCAUUUGCCUUGUCCCUUCAGUAUAAAGCAGAUAUUUCUAGCUUCGUAA